UACGAAGGGGGCUAGCGUUGCUCGGAAUUACUGGGCGUAAAGAGCGUGUAGGCGGCCAGGUAGGUCGGUUGUGAAAACUGGAGGCUCAACCUUCAGAGGUCGACCGAAACCAUCUGGCUAGAGUCCGGGAGAGGAGAGUGGAAUUCCUGGUGUAGCGGUGAAAUGCGCAGAUAUCAGGAAGAACACCCGUGGCGAAAGCGGCUCUCUGGAACGGUACUGACGCUGAGACGCGAAAGCGUGGGGAGCGAACAGG
rnacentral:rRNA from 1 species